CACUGAUCGGCGAGUACCACGGCACCCAGGCACCCCAGUUCCUCAUCAGCACCGGGAACUUCAUGUACCUGCUGUUCACCACUGACAACAGCCGCUCCAGCAUCGGCUUCCUCAUCCACUAUGAGAGUGUGACGCUAGAGUCAGACUCCUGCCUGGACCCGGGCAUCCCUGUGAACGGCCAUCGCCAAGGCGGCGACUUUGGCAUCCGGUCCACAGUAACGUUCAGCUGUGACCCGGGGUACACACUAAGUGACGACGAGCCCCUCAUCUGUGAGAGGAACCACCAGUGGAACCACGCCUUGCCCAGCUGCGACGCUCUAUGUGGAGGCUACAUCCAAGGGAAGAGUGGAACAGUCCUUUCUCCUGGGUUUCCAGAUUUUUAUCCAAACUCUCUAAACUGCACGUGGACCAUUGAAGUGUCUCAUGGAAAAGGAGUUCAAAUGAUCUUCCACACCUUUCAUCUUGAGAGUUCCCACGACUAUUUACUGAUCACAGAGGAUGGAAGUUUUUCCGAGCCCGUUGCCAGGCUCACUGGGUCGGUGUUGCCUCAUACAAUCAAGGCAGGCUUGUUUGGAAACUUCACUGCCCAGCUUCGGUUUAUAUCAGACUUCUCAAUUUCGUACGAGGGCUUCAAUAUCACGUUUUCAGAAUAUGACCUGGAGCCAUGUGAUGAUCCUGGAGUCCCUGCCUUCAGCCGAAGAAUUGGUUUUCACUUUGGUGUGGGAGACUCUCUGACGUUUUCCUGCUUCCCGGGAUAUCGUUUAGAAGGUGCAACCAAGCUUACCUGCCUGGGUGGGGGCCGCCGUGUGUGGAGUGCACCUCUGCCAAGGUGUGUGGCCGAAUGUGGAGCAAGUGUCAAAGGAAAUGAAGGAACAUUACUGUCUCCAAAUUUUCCAUCCAAUUAUGAUAAUAACCAUGAGUGUAUCUAUAAAAUAGAAACAGAAGCCGGCAAGGGUAUCCACCUUAGAGCACGAAGCUUCCAGCUGUUUGAAGGAGAUACUCUAAAGGUAUACGAUGGAAAAGACAGUUCCUCACGUCCACUGGGCACCUUCACUAAAAAUGAACUUCUGGGGCUGAUCCUAAACAGCACAUCCAAUCACCUGUGGCUAGAGUUCAACACCAAUGGAUCUGACACCAACCAAGGUUUUCAACUCACCUAUACCAGUUUUGAUCUGGUAAAAUGUGAGGAUCCGGGCAUCCCUAACUACGGCUAUAGGAUCCGUGAUGAAGGUCACUUUACCGACACUGUAGUUCUGUACAGUUGCAACCCGGGGUACGCCAUGCAUGGCAGCAACACCCUGACCUGUUUGAGUGGAGACAGGAGGGUGUGGGACAAACCGCUACCUUCGUGCAUAGCGGAAUGUGGUGGUCAGAUCCAUGCAGCCACAUCAGGACGAAUAUUGUCCCCCGGCUAUCCAGCUCCUUAUGACAACAACCUCCACUGCACCUGGAUUAUAGAGGCAGACCCAGGAAAGACCAUUAGCCUCCAUUUCAUUGUUUUCGACACGGAGAUGGCUCAUGACAUCCUCAAGGUCUGGGACGGGCCGGUGGACAGUGACAUCCUGCUGAAGGAGUGGAGUGGCUCUGCCCUUCCCGAGGACAUCCACAGCACCUUCAACUCACUCACCCUGCAGUUCGACAGCGACUUCUUCAUCAGCAAGUCUGGCUUCUCCAUCCAGUUCUCCACGUCAAUUGCAGCCACCUGUAACGAUCCAGGUAUGCCUCAAAAUGGCACCCGCUAUGGAGACAGCAGAGAGGCUGGAGACACCGUCACAUUCCAGUGUGACCCUGGCUAUCAGCUCCAAGGACAAGCCAAAAUCACCUGUGUGCAGCUGAAUAACCGGUUCUUUUGGCAACCAGACCCUCCUACAUGCAUAGCUGCUUGUGGAGGGAAUCUGACAGGCCCAGCAGGUGUUAUUUUAUCACCCAACUACCCACAGCCAUAUCCUCCUGGGAAGGAAUGUGACUGGAGAGUAAAAGUGAACCCGGACUUUGUCAUUGCCUUGAUAUUCAAAAGUUUCAACAUGGAGCCCAGCUAUGACUUCCUACACAUCUAUGAAGGGGAGGAUUCCAACAGCCCCCUCAUUGGGAGUUACCAGGGGUCUCAAGCCCCAGAAAGAAUAGAGAGUAGCGGAAACAGCCUGUUUCUGGCGUUUCGGAGUGAUGCCUCCGUGGGCCUUUCAGGGUUCGCCAUUGAAUUUAAAGAGAAACCACGGGAAGCUUGUUUUGAUCCUGGAAAUAUAAUGAAUGGGACAAGAAUUGGAACAGACUUCAAGCUUGGCUCCACCAUUACUUACCAGUGUGACUCUGGCUACAAGAUUGUUGACCCCUCAUCCAUCACCUGUGUGAUUGGGGUUGAUGGGAAACCCUCCUGGGACCAAGUGCUGCCCUCCUGCAAUGCUCCCUGCGGAGGCCAGUACAUGGGAUCUGAAGGGGUAGUUUUAUCACCAAACUACCCCCAUAAUUACACAGCUGGUCAAAUAUGCCUCUAUUCCAUCACGGUACCAAAGGAAUUCGUGGUCUUUGGACAGUUUGCCUAUUUCCAGACGGCCCUGAAUGAUUUGGCAGAAUUAUUUGAUGGAACCCAUGCACAGGCCAGACUUCUCAGCUCGCUCUCAGGGUCUCACUCAGGGGAAACAUUGCCCUUGGCUACGUCAAAUCAAAUUCUGCUCCGAUUCAGUGCAAAGAGCGGUGCCUCUGCCAGGGGCUUCCACUUCGUGUAUCAAGCUGUUCCUCGUACCAGCGACACCCAAUGCAGCUCUGUCCCCGAGCCCAGAUACGGAAGGAGAAUUGGUUCUGAGUUUUCAGCAGGCUCCAUCGUCCGAUUCGAGUGCAACCCGGGAUACCUGCUUCAGGGUUCCACGGCGCUCCACUGCCAGUCCGUGCCCAACGCCUUGGCACAGUGGAAUGACACGAUCCCCAGCUGUGUGGUACCCUGCAGUGGCAAUUUCACUCAACGAAGAGGUACAAUCCUGUCCCCUGGCUACCCUGAGCCAUACGGAAACAACUUGAACUGUAUAUGGAAGAUCAUAGUUACGGAGGGCUCGGGGAUUCAGAUUCAAGUGAUCAGUUUUGCCACGGAGCAGAACUGGGACUCCCUUGAGAUCCACGAUGGUGGGGAUGUGACCGCACCCAGACUGGGAAGCUUCUCAGGCACCACGGUACCAGCGCUGCUGAACAGUACUUCCAACCAACUCUACCUGCAUUUCCAAUCUGACAUUAGUGUGGCAGCUGCUGGUUUCCACCUGGAAUACAAAACUGUAGGUCUUGCUGCAUGCCAAGAACCAGCCCUCCCCAGCAACAGCAUCAAAAUCGGAGAUCGGUACAUGGUGAAUGACGUGCUCUCCUUCCAGUGCGAGCCCGGGUACACCCUGCAGGGCCGUUCCCACAUUUCCUGUAUGCCAGGGACCGUUCGCCGUUGGAACUAUCCGUCUCCCCUCUGCAUUGCAACCUGUGGAGGGACGCUGAGCACCUUGGGUGGUGUGAUCCUGAGCCCCGGCUUCCCAGGUUCUUACCCCAACAACUUAGACUGCACCUGGAGGAUCUCAUUACCCAUCGGCUAUGGUAAGUGAAAACAUUACCAGUUCCUAAAAGUUCAUUUUUUUCAUUUCCUUCUUGGAAAGAAUUAGGCAGAAUAAAAUGCGUUAUUCUGUUGACAUAACUGUAUCUGUAAUUGAAAGUGGCAUACAGAUUUAAAUAAAGCUUUGGCAGAGU
rnacentral:sRNA from 1 species